ACCUACGGGAGGCAGCAGUGGGGAAUCUUGCGCAAUGGGCGAAAGCCUGACGCAGCAACGCCGCGUGCGGGAAGAAGGCUCUCGGGUUGUAAACCGCUUUCAGAAGGAACGAAACUGACGGUACUUUCAGAAGAAGGUGCGGCCAACUACGUGCCAGCAGCCGCGGUGACACGUAGGCACCAAGCGUUGUCCGGAUUUAUUGGGCGUAAAGAGCUCGUAGGCGGUUCAGUAAGUCGGGUGUGAAAACUCUGGGCUUAACCCAGAGACGCCACCCGAUACUGCUGUGACUUGAGUACGGUAGGGGAGCAGGGAAUUCCUGGUGUAGCGGUGAAAUGCGCAGAUAUCAGGAGGAACACCGGUGGCGAAGGCGCUGCUCUGGGCCGAAACUGACGCUGAGGAGCGAAAGCGUGGGUAGCAAACAGGAUUAGAUACCCCGGUAGA
rnacentral:rRNA from 1 species